rnacentral:rRNA from 1 species
CGCCAAAUAACUACGAGUGAAAACUUAAAACUUAAAAGACUUGACGGUACUUCACACCAACCUAGAGGAGCCUGUCCAAUAACCGAUAAUCCACGAUAAACCCAACCCAACCUAGCCCAUAAUCCAGUCUAUAUACCGCCGUCGCCAGCCUACCUUGUGAAAGAAAAAUAGUAAGCACAACAGCACACACUAAUACGACAGGUCGAGGUGUAACUCAUGGUUGGGAAAAAGAUGGGCUACAUUUUCUGACACAGAACAAACGGAUACACCUUGAAACAGGAAACUGAAGGAGGAUUUAGCAGUAAGAUAAGAACAAAAUACUUACCUGAAAUUUGCAAUGAAGUGCGUACACACCGCCCGUCAUCCCUGCAAAACAAAAAAACUAAUAAAUAAAACCACAAAAACAAACAAAUCAGGGCAAGUCGUA